GAUGAAGAACGUAGUGAAAUGCGAUAAGUAAUGCGAAUUGCAGAAUUCAGUGAGUCAUCGAAUCUUUGAACGCACAUUGCGCCCUGUGGUAUUCCGCAGGGCAUGCCUGUUCGAGCGUCAUUUCAACCCUCAAGCCCCGCUUGGUGUUGGGCCCCGCCCGCCGUGGCCGGCCCUAAAGACAGUGGCGGCACCGCCUGGCCCUCAGCGUAGUACAGCUCUCGCUCCAGGGUCCGGCGGCCGCCUGCCAGAACCCCCCAACUCUGUGGUUGACCUCGGAUCAGGUAGGGAUACCCGCUGAACUUAAGCAUAUCAAUAAGCGGAGGA
rnacentral:misc_RNA from 1 species